AAAAUCAUCAUUUGUGUUUUACUGAAGAAACAAAGACACCUACAUCUUGGAUGCCCUGGGGGCUGUGAGAGCUGAAGGAAUUUGCAGUGCCCUGUGGUUCAGAAAAAUCCCCAGGUGUUAAAGUGGUUUCCCGCUGAGAACAUCUGUAUCAUCAAACACUCAGCACAAAUCCCCAGUCUUUGACUUCUAGGGUGUUGUUGGAUAUUGUGCUGAGCUCAGGUUCUAAAAGUGUCAGAAAUCAUAAAUGUUAGGAUCUGAGUAAGAGAUCUGAUCCUGUUUCAAUAUUGGGAAUCAUUUCGGCCUUCUUCUUCUCUUCACUGAGCAUUUACAACAAACCUCUUCACAGAGGUCAUGUCGACAGCCUCGACCAAAACACACAACCUAACUGGAAAGGUAUGUGCAUAGUACGAGAUGCUUAUGGCAGCUUCAGUUCUAACAUAAUCUUGAACAUAACUGUAACACGCAAUCCCAAAUGGAGUUGGUGGUCUUUUCUUUUC